AUGGGGCUGGGUGGAAGGCUCGCCAGCUCCUUCCAGUCACCAGCUAAAGGAGACUUCACCCAUCCCUCUGUGCCUCGGGCCAGGACUGAGCUGAGCGUGUUCUUCCCUGUAGCCUCAGCAGAAGGUGUUGAUGACACCAGUGUGAAUCCCAUCACCAAGUUGAGGGUUCCUGGCUCCAGCUGCGCCAUGCUUCCAGCCAGCGGCCACCCGGGGCCCAUACCCCCUGGCUACUUCAUCCACCCUGACACCGGGCGCUUGCUGCCUGAGGCUGGACACCUGGGAUAUGAUCUGCUGACCUCCACCCUGGUGCCCACCGCGGACUCCAACGCCAGUCAAGUGCUUGCACUGGGAGGGCUGAGAGAUGCCUCGGGGAACCUCAUGUUGCCUGGUGACAGCUUUGUGGAGCCGCUGAGUGGGAAGACAGUCCGGCUCCAAGGGGCUUCCCAACAGGCGGGCCGAACAUCACCCCAUAUGGGAGGGUCACAGGCCCUGCUGGAUGCCAACGUGCUGGUGGCCCAGAAACAAGUGAUUGCAGUGCUACAGCAGUGCCAGCCAAGUCCAGGGUCAAGCGUACCAGGGCCCCUGGAGGCUGCCAUCAAGGACAUGAGACAGGCACUGGCCUUGAGUCUGCACCACAUCCUGCAACAGGCUCAGAGACUACAGAGACAGCUGGAAGCCGCAGAUAGCAUCGAAGCCAGUGGCGGCAAGAUAGGUACGUGCUGAUAGGGGCUGAAGGCUCUGGGGCCCUGAAAUCCCAGGCCCAAAGUGACCUGGUACUUCUGCGCCCCUCAGCCCACAAGCUCAGGGAGAGGAAUGCAGUCCCACCGACCUUGCACACCUGUGACCAAGGGAAGAGAGAAGGAAUUUGAUGACUUCAUCCCCUCACAGUUCACCUUUGCAAAGUGCACCUUCUCCUGUUAUUUCACAGGAUCACCCAACGCCAUAAAGGUGUUAUGGACACUCAUUUUGUAGCGGGGGGCCUGAAGUUCAGGGUUAAGUGACUUGCCCAGCCUGGGUCCCCUAGCUAGUUGCUGCAAAGCCAGGAGCCAGGCCUGUUGUCUGGAUCUCCUGAGUCCUCACCUCCCACCUCGCUUUCACUCCUGCAACAGCCUUUAACUUCCCCCCUCCCCAGUAU
rnacentral:lncRNA from 1 species